CCUACGGGGGGCAGCAGUGGGGAAUAUUGGACAAUGGGCGAAAGCCUGAUCCAGCCAUGCCGCGUGUGUGAAGAAGGCCUUCGGGUUGUAAAGCACUUUCAGUGGGGAAGAAAGCCUUGGGGCUAAUACCCUCGAGGAAGGACAUCACCCACAGAAGAAGCACCGGCUAACUCCGUGCCAGCAGCCGCGGUAAUACGGAGGGUGCGAGCGUUAAUCGGAAUUACUGGGCGUAAAGCGCGCGUAGGCGGUCUGAUAAGCCGGUUGUGAAAGCCCCGGGCUCAACCUGGGAACGGCAUCCGGAACUGUCAGGCUAGAGUGCAGGAGAGGAAGGUAAAAUUCCCGGUGUAGCGGUGAAAUGCGUAGAGAUCGGGAGGAAUACCAGUGGCGAAGGCGGCCUUCUGGACUGACACUGACGCUGAGGUGCGAAAGCGUGGGUAGCAAACAGGAUUAGAUACCCUAGUAGUC
rnacentral:rRNA from 1 species